CAGCAGCCGCGGUAAUACGUAGGUGGCAAGCGUUGUCCGGAAUUAUUGGGUGUAAAGGGCUCGCAGGCGGUUUCUUAAGUCUGAUGUGAAAGCCCCCGGCUCAACCGGGGAGGGUCAUUGGAAACUGGGAAACUUGAGUGCAGAAGAGGAGAGUGGAAUUCCACGUGUAGCGGUGAAAUGCGUAGAGAUGUGGAGGAACACCAGUGGCGAAGGCGACUCUCUGGUCUGUAACUGACGCUGAGGAGCGAAAGCGUGGGGAGCGAACAGGAUUAGAUACCCCUGUAGUCCCUGUCUCUUAUAC
rnacentral:rRNA from 1 species